ACAUAACUCUGUAUCAACGUAUGGGCUGACUGGGAAAAGAGGCUCUUGGAAGAGUUAUUGAGGAAAAAGAAAGAAAGGCAAAGUGUGGAAGAAAGCAGAAAUAAAAUCACUGAAGGAAAACACGACAGCAGAGAGAGAAGGAGAAAGAGGGAGAGGCUAUACAAGACUGAAGAGAUGUAGAGAAGCAGUGCAGUGAAAGAGUGUGUGUGAAUCCCUGUGGUGCAGGAAGAAAUAGACACAUCUAAAGAGUGAGAAGGGCAGUUCUUUCCUCCUCUUUUUUUAUUUCUUAAACAAUAUACACAAAUAGAAAAUGAUAGCAGCUGAAAGAGUGAUGAUUUGACAAAGCACAUAUCCUGAGCUGACUUAACUAUUUCCUAACUCUGAAGCACAGAUCGAAAUUUCAGACUUUUCUCCAAACUCUGCAUCUGUCUGAUGUUGCUUCUUAAAUCUUGUCUGACUUUUUAAUCUUAUUUAUCUUUUUGCCCUCUCUUCCCUUCAUCCCACCUUUCAUUCUCACUUUGUUUAAUCUCAUUGUGAUGUUACCUGAAGUGUACGGUGGUUGUUGCUUUUUUUUUUUUUUUGGGAAUGUUGACAAGGUGACAGGCAAGCUGCACUGACGUCGAACCUCACUCUUCUGUCAGGACGAGAGAGACAG